UCCAACAUAAUGUUGAAAAGUGUUGAAGCACAACCAAUCAAAUCGAAGCGCUUCAACAUUUAGAGCCAAUCGAGUCGAAGCGCUUCAACAUUUGCAGCCAAUCACAGAGCGGAAGUUUCAACAUUUUCAACAUUUGACCAAUCAAAGUGAAAGAGAAAGUCUUCGGGUACGAUUCCCCUCCUCACCUGUAGGUGGAGUAAGAGUGAUGCUCGAUGACGUGUUACUGCUCUUCUAUUUUUUUUUUUGAGUUGCCGCUCUUCGCCAGUAGGGGGAGUAGGCUAAAAAUGUCAAUAAAGUUGCCGAAAUUGGCCGAAAGUGUACGGUCUUUGAUGAGAGGGAUAAGAUGAACUGGGAGUGUCAGGGGUCAAAAAAGUUCAGUAGAAGGUUCAUGCCCUACGACGAGCAUCAUUGCCACGGACAUCAACAUCUUUAAACGGAGGACAAAUAUUUGUAUCUUUUAUUACGGACUAUAACCGGACAAGACAAUGUCUGCAAAAAAAUCGCACAAAGGCAUGUCGGACGCUGAAUGGAUUUCACGUCUAAGAAAGUUUGCCAGUACAGGUGUUUGGCCUUCAGAAGAAGGUAAUAGACCAGCUCCUAGGCAAAAAAAGUGGCACGAGCUUUAUCAAAGGAUUGAAAAAUGCCCGAUGCACUCUCGUGGCCAGACAACAUUGUUUGGAGGUGUCCUAAAGUGCACAUGUGGUUUUCACACUCAAAAGCCACCUAUGUCUACUGGACAGACACCAAGGGUCAUGCAACAACAGUCUGCUGCUGCUAUUGGAUCACCACAGGAGGAGAGUCAGCAUCAACCCCAGGUCCAGCCUCAACCUCAGGUCCAGCCUCAACCUCAGGUCCAGCCUCAACCUCAGGUCCAGCAUCAACCUCAGGUCCAGCAUUAACCUCAGGUCCAGCAUCAACCUCAGGUCCAGCCUCAGCCUCCACCCCAGCGUACUCCAUCAAGGAUUUCGCCAAGUUUGUCACAGUUUACCAAGUCAAGAUUUAGCGGGUCUCAUAUUGCUGCAGCGAAGCCCAACCUAAAGAUGGCUAGAAGACCAUCUCAGGCUACUGACCAACCUAGCUCAACAGCAGUGUCCAGUCCCCCUAUACCAAGCACCACUACACAAGACCCUGGACUUCCAGUCUCCGUCCCCAGAUCAACUGCCGAUGUUACCAGUCCCACAUCAUCAUGCAGCGUUGUCUCC